GUUUAGAACUGUUAACCA
rnacentral:misc_RNA from 1 species